AAGUUUAAAUUGGAAAAGAAAGCUGUUUCGAAGCCUUGCUCCUUCAUCUGGUAUUUCUGGAAAUUUUUGGAUGAAGAUAUGAAGGAAGGAAGUUGGUGAUAGUUAGAGAAUUCGAAGGUAGAAGCUUGAUCGGAAAGUGAAAAAAAUAGGGGAUAGAAGCUUUUAUAGGGGAAGUGCGCGGCGCUUCGCAUUUGGAGGUAACCAGCCGAUGAUUGACACGUGUCCGAAGUCAGAGCGACGCAACUGAUGGGAUGUUUCGACUUCUUUGUAGUUUCGAUUGUAAUGUACGAAGGAAGGAACCAAAGAACAUCUAUCGUUUCCCAUCGUUUCGGCAAACCUACUGUGAACACCUAAUUUUUGCAUUAUUUUAACACCUCCUAAAGUCAUUAGUGUUUUGAUAUUUUAAUUGUUUUUCUCAAUUUUUGUGUCUUUAUUUGCAUAUUUCCUAUCAUAAAAAAUACCAAAAAAUAGUUCUUUUUUCAUUUGUGCAUUUUAAGAAUUAACUAACUAUUCAAUUGGUGAAUUAAUCUAGUUAAAUUGAUUAUUUGAAUAAGUUAUUUAAUUAAUUUAUGUGUUUGUGUAAAUUUAGUUUAUUAAGUAGGAUUAAGGCAGAAAUGGGCCAAAUUUGAAAGAGAAAUGUGGCCAAGAGUGCAAGACAAGGGACUGUCAUGGAAGAAUUUAAAACGACGUUGUUUCAACACAAAACUACGUCGUUUUGGUUAAGUAAAUAGAAAUCCGCCAUAGCCAUUCAUGAUACCCCCAAAAUUUCACCAUGUAAUCUCCAACACCUUCUCUUUCCAUAUCUUCAAACCAAAUCCUUCAAAAACCCCUUAAAACUCCGUGAAUUUUAGAUCUAGAAAAGCCCUGGGCCAUUUUUUCCACAAAUUCGGGAUGAUUAAGCCCUUCUUUCCACCUAAUUUUCACAUAAAUGGGUAUAACUCGAUGGGGCUACUAUUUGGCAUUGGUUUCGUGCCAAAAAUCCGGCGAUCGGAUUCCGGCAACCACCACUGACCGCCCAACACCGCCGCUGCCCGCCACCUCUUCCGCCGUCACUGCCACCACCUCACUGCCGGAAACCACCACCAGCCCACUGACCCCUCUAUUAUUAUCUUUUUUAGCCUAGUUUCGACCCAAGAACAUUAGUUUCCUCUUGGUAUGAUGCUGGGUUCAUUGAGUUCAGCGUAUUCCAAAAGGAAACGAACGUUCCAAGGUCGAAAAGCUACCUUUUGGCGUCCUCAGCAUCGUCUCGUUGCUCGAUUCGACGUCGGAUGUCCCGGAGCUUGGUAAUGCUUCAUCCUUUGUACUAGCAAUCAGUGAAGGUUUGAGCAUGUUUAUAUUAUUUGAGCAUCUUUAAAGGAGUUUGCUAGAAGUUUCAGUUUUCAAUCCGGCUUGAGGAUCAUAGUGUUAAAUCCAUGACUUUGCUGCUCUGUUUUUCCUAUGUAGUAUUUUUUUUUCCCCAUCUUUUGAGUAGUAUUUCAAUAUAAUCUUGGCAAUAUUUUAGAAAAGGAAAUAGUAUGUUAAAGAUUUAAUGAAGACUUUGGAGUGGACAGAAGCUAUGGAGUUUGUGGAAAAGAGUCUUGUUUGGCUUAAGAUCUCUGCCAUUUUGCUUGCUGGAAGUUGGAAUUAAUAUCAUCAAAGGAUCACAUAAUGAUCUAGUUUUAUUAUUCCCCUAUUGUAGCAAUGUUGUUUUGGCUUUAGUUGAUUUCUCGUUACCCUAUUGUU